UACGAAGGGGGCUAGCGUUGCUCGGAAUCACUGGGCGUAAAGCGCACGUAGGCGGAUCUUUAAGUCAGGGGUGAAAUCCUGGAGCUCAACUCCAGAACUGCCUUUGAUACUGGGGAUCUCGAGUCCGGAAGAGGUGAGUGGAACUCCGAGUGUAGAGGUGAAAUUCGUAGAUAUUCGGAAGAACACCAGUGGCGAAGGGCGGACUCACUGGUCCGGUACUGACGCUGAGGGUGCGAAAAGCGUGGGGAGCAAACAGG
rnacentral:rRNA from 1 species